UCCGUAGGGGGCAAGCGUUGUCCGGAUUUAUUGGGCGUAAAGAGCGUGUAGGCGGCCAUACAGGUCCGUUGUGAAAACUGGAGGCUUAACCUCCAGACGUCGAUGGAAACCGUAUGGCUAGAGUCCGGAAGAGGAGAGUGGAAUUCCUGGUGUAGCGGUGAAAUGCGCAGAUAUCAGGAAGAACACCCGUGGCGAAGGCGGCUCUCUGGGACGGUACUGACGCUGAGACGCGAAAGCGUGGGGAGCGAACAGG
rnacentral:rRNA from 1 species